CUUUGGUUGAAUGGUUCAUGAGAAAAUGCACGGACACGACUGGAAACACCAUUUUUCAAUCUUUCAAGAACCAUAACUCCUGAACGGUAAAAGUCAAAAUCGUCAUUAUUUAACUUGACCUCUAUUUUGUCAUCAGUUACAACAUAUUAAAAUUUGGGAAGCUUUGGUAGAACAGUUCAUGCGUAAAUGCACGGACACAACUGGAAACUCCAUUUUUCAAUCUUUCAAGAACCAUAACUCCUGAACAGUAAAGGUCAAAAUCGUCAUUAUUGAACUUGACCUCCAUUUUGUCAUCAGUAACAACAUAUUAAAAUUUGGGAAGCUUUGGUAGAACAGUUCAUGCGUAAAUGCACGGACACGACUGAAAACUCCAUUUUUCAAUCUUUCAAGAACCAUAACUCC
rnacentral:lncRNA from 1 species